UUGUUUUAAUGUUAUUCGUUAUUGUGUUUACGGCGCUGUUAAAUUUUGACGUUAAAACACUUUGUUUUUAAUGCAAAUUAAACGCACAAGAUUGCACGGGAUCGUACGAGUUUUACAUUUUUUUUUACAAAUGAUAUAUUUUUUCUUUUGUUAGUGUUUUUAAGUUCUAAAAAUAUAAUAUAAAUUCAUCCAGUAUGUUUUAUUUAUUUAUUUUUUUUUAAUAUAAGCUUAAGUACUCGUCGAGAAUCGUUCAUAUUUUGUUUGAACUCGAAUUUAUAAAUUAUAAACUACGUUAUUUAAACGUGACGUUGUAUUAUGGAUUCACAUCACUAAUUAAAAUAGAAUACAUUUUUUUUUACGUAAAUUAAAUCACGAUCUCGAAGAACAUAAUACCAAUUUUAAAUAAUAAUUAUGUACGUAUAACAUAAUACAGUUCAAGAAUCGAGGAACUUGAAUAUUUUGGGAUGCAAUCAAUUUAUUUACCCAGUAUAGAUGGAUAAUGGUAGUAUAUGCAAGGUAAUUUAGUUUUUUUAUUGUACAUUGAAUGCAAAUGAAAAACGACGGAUAUACUUCGCACGUGGGUGUGCCACUGUUGUAGGUGGGAAUUCGGGAAGGUAGGAUAACAACGCG